CAUGGUGGCGGGACAGGUAUUGUGGCCUUGAGAAAGCCAAGUUUGAAUGGAGCUACGAUCGUAUGUGACGCCGGUGCAGAGACUUACCGGAGACCUCAUUACGUCCAUUGAUAUCGGACAUCGGAAAAGGCUCGGAACGGUAACGUAUAAUUCUUCUCUCCUAUUUCUCAUCAUUUUUUGCUACUCUUUCUAUUUUCUGCCUUGUGGGAAUAAUAUAGCUAGUUAUGUGGACGGUAUUUGUGCUUAUAAAGGAAGAGUCAAAGUGGAAAGUGGUGACGUCGAUUUGGUCAACUAUAUUUGCUUUGUUUAAGUAAACAAGUGGAAAUCUUUUUCAUAUAUGCACCUAAGAUAAUGCGCUGUUUUUUUAGUACAUUGCACACUAUCUUUUUUUUUUUUUUUUAAAAAAAUUCUCUUGAUUUAUUUAUUUUCUUAUAAGAUUAUUAAAAUGUGCAGAAGUGACCUGAAUGUUACUCCCUUUGUGCCUAACUCAUGUAGCAUAAUUUGAUUGAAAUGAAAUUUAAGAAAGGAGGAAAAGAACAUUUAAAACUAGUGAUACUAAAAUGUCAUAAGAUUUUUUUUGUCCAUAAAAACAUGUCAUUUAUGAUAAAAUGAGAAUUUUAUAAUUACAUUAUUUUAAAUAUAAAAAUAAGUCUUUUUCAGUUAAAUUUCGCCAAAUAUUUGAAAAGUAAAGUAUAUAUCAAGGACCAAAAUAGUCCAACAACUAAAUAUUAUGCCACUUAAUUAAGGACCACUUUGAUAAUUUUCUCCAAGGAAGUCCAUCAAUCUGUAAUAAUGAUUUUUGAGAUCUAAUUGUUGUAGGUAUGGAGAGGUUUAAGAAUAGAGAUUAUAUGAAGUGAAGAAAAAGGUGCAUAUGUUAAGGAACACUCAAUCAAGUGCCACUAAUUAUUUCCAUAU
rnacentral:lncRNA from 1 species